CUCCCGGGUGGAAUUAAGACAACAGGAGUAAGAAGAAGGAAGAAGAAGGAGGGCAGAUCUUCCAGAGCAGAGCCGAAGUGCAGCCCAGCGUCCCAGUGACUCUUCUAGACACUGCCGCUGUGUCUCGGGAAUGUGAGCUUCUCCAGAGAAGAUAUAACUUCUUGGGAAUUGCCUCUAGGCUCAGCAACUGACUGAUGAUUGACUGAAAGAAUGUGCCAGGAAAGUCUUGUUGAGAAGAGAAUUAACAAAUAAAUGAGGAUAAAUCCUUGUAGUGAGAGAGCCU
rnacentral:lncRNA from 1 species